rnacentral:rRNA from 1 species
GUUGACCUCGGAUCAGGUAGGAAUACCCGCUGAACUUAAGCAUAUCAAUAAGCGGAGGAAAAGAAACCAACAGGGAUUGCCUCAGUAACGGCGAGUGAAGCGGCAACAGCUCAAAUUUGAAAUCUGGCCCCAGGCCCGAGUUGUAAUUUGCAGAGGAUGCUUUUGGCGAGGUGCCUUCCGAGUUCCCUGGAACGGGACGCCAUAGAGGGUGAGAGCCCCGUCUGGUCGGACACCGAGCCUCUGUAAAGCUCCUUCGACGAGUCGAGUAGUUUGGGAAUGCUGCUCUAAAUGGGAGGUAUAUGUCUUCUAAAGCUAAAUACCGGCCAGAGACCGAUAGCGCACAAGUAGAGUGAUCGAAAGAUGAAAAGCACUUUGAAAAGAGAGUUAAAUAGCACGUGAAAUUGUUGAAAGGGAAGCGUUUAUGACCAGACUUGGCCCGGUUGAUCAUCCAGCGUUCUCGCUGGUGCACUCUGCCGGUCCAGGCCAGCAUCAGUUCGUCGCGGGGGAUAAAGGUUUCGGGAAUGUGGCUCCUCCGGGAGUGUUAUAGCCCGUUGCGUAAUACCCUGCGGUGGACUGAGGUCCGCGCUUCUGCAAGGAUGCUGGCGUAAUGGUCAUCAACGAC